AACCCAUGCAAGUUGUGCGCGAAAGUUUCCUUCGGGAGGCGAGUAGAGCAGCGAACGGGUGAGUAACGCGUAGGCAACCUGCCCUUCAGUUUGGAAUAGCGUCGGGAAACUGGCGGUAAUGCCGAAUAUUACUGGAUGUCCGCAUGGACAACUAUUGAAAGCUGGGGAUUCUUCGGAACCUAGCGCUGAGGGAUGGGCCUGCGUAGCAUUAGCUAGUUGGUGAGGUAACGGCUCACCAAGGCCAUGAUGCUUAGCCGAGCUGAGAGGCUGAUCGGCCACAUCGGGACUGAGAUACGGCCCGGACUCCUACGGGAGGCAGCAGUGAGGAAUAUUGGGCAAUGGGCGCAAGCCUGACCCAGCAACGCCGCGUGAAUGAUGAAGGCCUUUGGGUCGUAAAAUUCUGUCAUGAAGGAAGAAACCCCGGUAGGCGAAUAGGUUACCGGACUGACGGUACUUCAAGAGGAAGCCCCGGCUAAUUACGUGCCAGCAGCCGCGGUAAUACGUAAGGGGCGAGCGUUGUCCGGAAUUAUUGGGCGUAAAGCGCGUGUAGGCUGUCAGGUCAGUUAGAUGUGAAAUCCCAAGGCUCAACCUUGGAACUGCGUUUAAUACUGCCUGACUAGAGUGCAGGAGAGGAGAGUGGAAUUCCUAGUGUAGCGGUGAAAUGCAUAGAUAUUAGGAAGAACAUCAGUGGCGAAGGCGGCUCUCUGGCCUGUAACUGACGCUGAGACGCGAAAGCGUGGGGAGCGAACGGGAUUAGAUACCCCGGUAGUCCACGCCGUAAACGAUGGGUACUAGGUGUAGGAGGUAUCGACCCCUUCUGUGCCGGAGUUAACGCAUUAAGUACCCCGCCUGGGAAGUACGAUCGCAAGAUUAAAACUCAAGGGAAUUGACGGGGACCCGCACAAGCGGUGGAGCAUGUGGUUUAAUUCGAGGAUACGCGAAAAACCUUACCUGGAUUUGACAUCCCGUGAUCGCCUGUGAAAGCAGGUUUCUCUUCGGAGCACGGUGACAGGUGCUGCAUGGUUGUCGUCAGCUCGUGUCGUGAGAUGUUGGGUUAAGUCCCGCAACGAGCGCAACCCCUACUGUUAGUUACCAACGGGUAAUGCCGGGAACUCUAACGGGACUGCCGGUGACAAACCGGAGGAAGGUGGGGACGACGUCAAAUCCUCAUGGCCUUUAUAUCCAGGGCUACACACGUGCUACAAUGGCUGGUACAGAGGGUCGCAAUACCGCGAGGUGGAGCUAAUCCCAAAAAAACCAGUCCCAGUUCGGAUUGUGGGCUGCAACUCGCCCACAUGAAGUUGGAAUCGCUAGUAAUCGCGGAUCAGCAUGCCGCGGUGAAUACGUUCUCGGGUCUUGUACACACCGCCCGUCACACCACCCGAGUUGGGUGCACCAGACGUCGCUGCAGC
rnacentral:rRNA from 1 species